rnacentral:rRNA from 1 species
CAGUAGCCACGGGAAUACGUAGGGUGCGAGCGUUAAUCGGAAUUACUGGGCGUAAAGCGUGCGCAGGCGGUUUUGUAAGACAGGCGUGAAAUCCCCGGGCUCAACCUGGGAAUGGCGCUUGUGACUGCAAAGCUAGAGUGCGGCAGAGGGAGAUGGAAUUCCGCGUGUAGCAGUGAAAUGCGUAGAUAUGCGGAGGAACACCGAUGGCGAAGGCAAUCCCCUGGGCCUGCACUGACGCUCAUGCACGAAAGCGUGGGGAGCAAACAGGAUUAGAUACCCCUGUAGUCCCUGUCUCUUAUAC